rnacentral:lncRNA from 1 species
CUCAAAGGAAAAAGAGAGACAGAGAGAACCGGUGAGAGAGAGACGGACGUCUGGUCACGCUUCCGGCAACGGUUACUGAGAUCUCCGUCGAAUUACUGCCCGGCCGUCGUUCUGCGAUGGGCCUACAUGUAUGAUCGGAGACCUGGAGGCGGCAAAUCGGUUUCCGGCCAGUUGAAAACCACCGAUUGUGCCACAUGGGUGUUCUCCGGCCAGUCUAGCGACGCAAGGUAUAGAUUAUCGACAACGUUAUAGUUUGGGUUUUGUCCUCCUUAUUAACCAGCGGUUUCUGUGGUGAUAGAUUGAGUUUGAGUGUGAGGUGAUCAAGAUCGCUGAUAAAUGGUGUUGUUUCUGGUGUUGUUUAAACGGUUUUAACCACCUAUCCGGCUUCUGUGAUCUUGGAAGUUAUGAAUAGUUGAGAUUGAAUUGGAUCGACAGUCCGUCUCUCUGCAGGGUAUCUGCUGUAUUUAAGCUUCCUCAUGUCGGCUCAGCGGAAUCAAGCGAUAGCUCCAAGAAGGCCUACGACGAAUGAAAAAGCUGAAAAUAAACUUUUCUGAAAGUUGCGGAUGAUGAAGACUAGGCAACUGAAACCCACACAAAGUCGUCGACGUACAAAUCUUUAGGUAGCACACCUUUUGUACAACUUAUUUGCGUAACACUCUAGGUAUCAGUAUGCUAAGUUGUGAAGACCGUUAUACAGAAGAACAUUUUAUACAUCUUUGUUUUGUAUAUCCUUAAUAUAUAGGUCAGGCGAUGUGACUAUGGAAGGAUGAUGUAAUCAAACACUUAGGGCCUCCCGGCCGCAACGCGGCGGGGUUUUAAAUCUAGUUCAUUUUAAUUUAU